UACGGGGGGUGCGAGCGUUGUCCGGAAUCACUGGGCGUAAAGGGCGCGUAGGUGGUUUGAUAAGGGUGUGGUGAAAGUCCGGGGCUCAACCCCGGAUCUGCCGUGCCGACUGUCAAACUCGAGGGCUGUAGAGGCAGACGGAAUUCCGGGUGUAGCGGUGGAAUGCGUAGAGAUCCGGAGGAAGACCGGUGGCGAAGGCGGUCUGCUGGGCAGUAGCUGACACUGAUGCGCGACAGCGUGGGGAGCAAACAGG
rnacentral:rRNA from 1 species